CAGACUAGGAAAUUCUCCUAAAUAUAUCUCCAACAGAGUAAACAAGAGAUUAGGAAACUUGUCCUUCAUUCAAUUACACCUGACAGGUGAAUGUGAGUGGAGCAGUAAGAGAUGCUGCUUCCAGUAGUUUUCUGCCUCUCAAUCCUUGCUAUUCAAAGUAUGGUCCACAGUCCAGCAGCUUUGGCAUUACCUGGGAACUUGAUGGAAAUGCAGAGAAGUUCAAAUUCCCACCACUGAUAUACUGAAUCAGAAACAUCUGCCCUUCAAGAAGAUCCACUGGUGAUAAUACGCAUAUUAAAGUUUGAGUAGCACCGCCAUUCUAUAUCAGCUUGCAAAAUGAAGGCAAGAAGAAACAAAACAAAGCAUUAGCCAGUUUGGAUUUUCUGAAGUGCACUAAAUGUCAAACUCAAGAAAAGGAUUCUAUUCUGACAAGCACAAAACCCUGCACCAAGUUGAACCUGUCCUUUGUGAUGAGGCUGUUGAACAGAAGAGCAGCAUAGCCGUCUGUCUGCUCUUGCUCCACAUUCAGCUAAAUGCCAACUCCGAUCCCUUUGAGACGGUGAACAGGCUGAACCCAGGGAUCGUGUCAUCCCUCAGUAUCCAGACUUCUUCAGAGAACCAUGUGGUGAAACUUCUUGAUUAAGGUCGCAAAAGGAGAGACAACUAUACAUUUUGUGAUGCCGAAGAGAAAUGUACAAGAGUACUACUGAAGAAGUCCAGCCAAAAAAAAAAAAGCCCAGUAGUAUUCUUAUCAAGCCUGUAUAUCCAGUUUACAGGAAAUAUAAGAGACAGAGACACAUGUUAAAUGGCAACACUAGAAUCCCUGAAGGAAAACCUGCUGGGAUUGGCUGCAGAUGGUUUCAUUGCGAGAGAAGAAUGUGCCUCCUUUUGGCUGCCUGUUCUGUACGCAUGAUCAAGUCCCAGUCAAUGCUUCAUGUGCCUCAUUAACUGCGGG